UUGCUUUGAAUAUGAAUGAAAAAAGUUUACAUAUUACAAGAUGUUGGUGGUGGCACAAAAGAGAACUCUCUUCUGUGAAUAGCCCCGUUGUAUACGUGUAAAACUUUAUUACAUAAAGAUAUAAGCAAAAAGGCUUCC
rnacentral:ncRNA from 1 species